GAACAACCGAGUUAGGCAUUCCAAUCCCGCUCUCCCCACAUACUUCCAAAACUCAACCGGGAUUUCAUCUGGCCCGGUCGCUUUACCCCUACUCAUCUUACGCAAAGCUCCAAUGACCUCGUCAACCCUAAUGCGUCUGCAAUACCUAAAAUCUCGGGGAAUCUUCGAUAAAUUUUUGAACUAAAAAUCUUAAAUUAUUACUCUACUUACACACUUGCAUUUUCCUUUUUUACACUUCAUUUUCUUCAUUUUUUUUUUGUAUUCUUUAAUUAUGGUAGUUACUGUUUGAUAUUAUUGCAUGCCAUUUUAUUUAUGGUUCUUAUGUUUAGAUAACUAUUUACGCGAUUUCUGCUGGAGUUAC
rnacentral:lncRNA from 1 species